AUACCAGCCCCGCGAGUGGUCCGGACGAUUAUUGGGCCUAAAGCGUCCGUAGCCGGCCCGGCAAGUCCCUCUUUAAAGCCCACGGCUCAACCGUGGGACCGGAGGGAUACUGCCGGGCUAGGGGGCGGGAGAGGCCGGGGGUACUUCCGGGGUAGGGGCGAAAUCCUGUAAUCCCGGAAGGACCGCCAGUGGCGAAGGCGCCCGGCUGGAACGCGCCCGACGGUGAGGGACGAAAGCUGGGGGAGCAAAAGGGAUUAGAAACCCUAGUAGUCC
rnacentral:rRNA from 1 species